rnacentral:rRNA from 1 species
UGGGGAAUUUUCCGCAAUGGGCGAAAGCCUGACGGAGCAAGACCGCGUGGGGGAAGAAGGCUCUUGGGUUGUAAACCCCUUUUCUCUGGGAAGAAAGUUGUGAAAGCAACCUGACGGUACCAGAGGAAUCAGCAUCGGCUAACUCCGUGCCAGCAGCCGCGGUAAGACGGAGGAUGCAAGCGUUAUCCGGAAUGAUUGGGCGUAAAGCGUCCGCAGGUGGCAGUUCAAGUCUGCUGUCAAAGACCGGGGCUUAACUUCGGAAAGGCAGUGGAAACUGAACAGCUAGAGUAUGGUAGGGGCAGAGGGAAUUCCUGGUGUAGCGGUGAAAUGCGUAGAGAUCAGGAAGAACAUCGGUGGCGAAGGCGCUCUGCUGGACCAUAACUGACACUCAGGGACGAAAGCUAGGGGAGCGAAUGGGAUUAGAUACCCCAGUAGUCCUAGCCGUAAACGAUGGAUACUAGGUGUUGUCUGUAUCGACCCGGACAGUGCCGUAGCUAACGCGUUAAGUAUCCCGCCUGGGGAGUACGCACGCAAGUGUGA